rnacentral:rRNA from 1 species
CCCUUAGACGUUCUGGGCCGCACGCGCGCUACACUGACCAGUGCAACAAGCAUACGUCCUUGGCCGACAGGCCCGGGCAAUCUUUGAACGCUGGUCGUGAUGGGGAUAGACUUUUGCAAUUUUUGGUCUUCAACGAGGAAUUCCUAGUAAACGCAAGUCAUCGACUUGCAUUGAUUACGUCCCUGCCCUUUGUACACACCGCCCGUCGCACCUACCGAUUGAAUGGUCCGGUGAAGCCUCCGGAUUGGCGCGCACCUCGGUGCCGCCGAGAAGUUGGCUAAACCUUACCAUUUAGAGGAAGGUGAAGUCGUAACA